CCUGCGGAGGGAUCAUUACCGAGUUAUACAACUCAUCAACCCUGUGAACAUACCUAAAACGUUGCUUCGGCGGGAACAGACGGCCCUGUAACAACGGGCCGCCCCCGCCAGAGGACCCCUAACUCUGUUUUUAUAAUGUUUUUCUGAGUAAACAAGCAAAUAAAUUAAAACUUUCAACAACGGAUCUCUUGGCUCUGGCAUCGAUGAAGAACGCAGCGAAAUGCGAUAAGUAAUGUGAAUUGCAGAAUUCAGUGAAUCAUCGAAUCUUUGAACGCACAUUGCGCCCGCCAGUAUUCUGGCGGGCAUGCCUGUUCGAGCGUCAUUACAACCCUCAGGCCCCCGGGCCUGGCGUUGGGGAUCGGCAGAAGCCCCCUGUGGGCACACGCCGUCCCUCAAAUACAGUGGCGGUCCCGCCGCAGCUUCCAUUGCGUAGUAGCUAACACCUCGCAACUGGAGAGCGGCGCGGCCAUGCCGUAAAACACCCAACUUCUGAAUGUUGACCUCGAAUCAGGUAGGAAUACCCGCUGAACUUAA
rnacentral:rRNA from 1 species